rnacentral:misc_RNA from 1 species
GUCUCCUUUUCAAUUGCCCGCCUCUCUCCCUAUCUUAGUCAUAGAUCUAGGCCUUUUGCUUAUCCUGCGCACAUCACAUGGCGCACGUUAUUCAGCUCCCCUGCGAUGGAGAUGGCUUCUGCAUGCGCUGCAAGGCGAAGCCAGCUACUGAAGAAACUCUCAGUUGCUCCACGUGCGCCACUCCAUGGCACGUGAUUUGUCUUUCUUCCCCGCCGGAAACUCUGGCCUCCACUCUCCAAUGGGAGUGUCCGGACUGCUCGGGUGAACCCACUGCCCCUGCAGCUGCUGUUGCCGGCAGUGGAAGUGAGUUGUUGGCCGCUAUAAGGGAUAUUGAGGCAGAUGUGACUCUUACUGAGAAGGAGAAGGCGAGGAAGCGGCAGGAAUUGUUAAGUGGGAAGGUGGAGGAGGAAGAUCUGAAGAAGAAAGAGAAGGGGAAAGAGAAGGAGAGUGAGAGUGAUGUGUUGAAUAUUCUUGAUGAGAGUUUUAAGUGUUCUUUUUGUAUGCAGUUGCCCGAAAGACCUGUUACUACACCAUGUGGCCAUAAUUUCUGCCUCAAAUGCUUCCAGAAAUGGAUUGGACAAGGAAAGAGCACAUGUGCAAAUUGCCGCAAUCAAAUCCCCCCCAAGAUGGCGAGCCAACCUCGAAUCAAUUCUGCACUUGUUGUUGCCAUCCGCAUGGCAAAAAUAUCGAAAUCAAGUACUUCUGGGGGACCUCCUAAGGAAUAUCAUUUUGUCCACAAUCAAAACAGGCCGGACAAAGCAUUUACAACUGAGAGAGCAAAGAGAGCUGGAAAGGCUAAUGCUUGCAGUGGAAAGAUUUUUGUCACUGUUCCCCCUGAUCACUUUGGGCCAAUUCUUGCUGAGAAUGAUCCAGUAAGAAACCAAGGUGUUUUGGUUGGAGAGUUGUGGGAAGAUAGACUAGAGUGUAGACAGUGGGGUGCCCACCUUCCCCAUGUUGCAGGUAUUGCUGGUCAGUCAACUUAUGGUGCCCAAUCAGUGGCCCUCUCUGGAGGUUAUGUAGACGAUGAGGACCAUGGUGACUGGUUCCUUUACACUGGGAGUGGAGGAAGGGACCUGAGUGGCAAUAAACGCACAAACAAGGCACAGUCCUUUGAUCAGAAAUUUGAAAAGUUGAAUGAGGCUUUACGAUUAAGUUGUCGUGAAGGUUAUCCUGUGAGAGUAGUGAGGUCUCACAAAGAGAAGUGCUCUUCUUAUGCCCCAGAAAAGGGUGUGCGUUAUGAUGGUAUUUAUAGGAUUGAGAAGUGCUGGCGUAAGAAUGGAAUGCAGGGCUACAAGGUUUGUAGGUAUCUUUUUGUUAGAUGUGACAAUGUACCUGCUCCAUGGACAAGUGAUGAUCUUGGGGAUCGUCCAAGGCCUCUGCCAGUCAUCAGGGAGUUAGAGAAUGCAAUUGAUAUAACUGAAAGGAGGGGAUCUCCAUCCUGGGACUAUGAUGAGGAAAAAGGUUGUUGGAUGUGGAAGAAACCUCAACCAAGCAGUAGAAAACAGGUUAAUGGUGGAAAUCCAGAAGACAGUGUGAAAAUAAUGAAAGUGAGGCGGCAAGGAAAGAAUGUGCUCAUGAGCCAAAAGUUUCUAAAAGGUGCAGUCUAUCAAAUCUAUACUAGCAACUUCAUUUUUUUCUUCACUCUUACUCAUGUAGCACUAUGGCGUGCUCCCUGACCAUGAUUAGGCCAACGCUAACAGAUUAACAAAGAAACGUUUACUUCUGUUUCAUUCACUAUGCAGAGUUAAGCUGUCAAAUUUGUCAUAAGAUGAUGGCUAACCCUGUUACCACCCCUUGUGCGCACAAUUUUUGCAAAGCAUGCCUAGAGGGUUCUUUUGCUGGUCAAAGUUUUAUGAGGCAGAGGACAUGUCAAGGAAGACGGACGUUAAGGGUGCAGAAAAAUGUUAUGAAAUGUCCAUCUUGUACAAAUGACAUAGCCGACUUUCUUCAAAAUCCACAGGUUAAUAGAGAGUUGAUGGGUGUUAUUGAAUCAUUACAACGCAGAAAUGCAGAGUUUGAAACUUUUGAUGAUUCCACUGAAGAAAGUGAUGUCACGCAUGAGAAAACACAGGCUGUUGCUGACACAGAAAUCUGCAAUAUAAAUGGUGAACUUAAGGAAGAAGCCAAAGCUAACAAUUUGAUGCAUCAAACAGAAACAAAUCCCCAGCAAUCAUGCAAGGAGGGAAGUGAUGGAAAUGACAAGUCAGGCGUUGUUAGGCAGAAGGAAGGGGAAUUACUUGAGCAACCUGAUAAUGUGAAUGGUGAAAUUGAAAUGAAUACUAGCAACUCCAAAAUAGCUGACAGUAAAGAACAAACAACUACUGCCACAGUUGAGCAGACCUACAAGAGAAAAGAUACUAACGAUGAAGAAAGCCAGCUGGCUGGAGUUCAGACCAGCAGCAAGAAGGCUAAAUUGAUGGUGGAACAAUGAAGAGAUGCUUCUUCUGGGUCAUACAAUGAUUUGAUUUACAUGACCAUGGCCUACAGCAUAUGUUUUAUGUGUGGUUGGUGUGAUAGGUAGUUGGUCAUUACUUUAUAUGUAUUGUAAUGGGUGUUUAGUUUUAUCACAGUACAGUUUUAUAUGUAUAUUUUCACAGCUCUUAGGCCAAAGAUUCAGAACUAUUAUUACUGUGAAGUGUGAAUCACCAUACCAAAAACAUUGAGGGGAAAAUAAGGAUGUCUAAGGUUAUCAAUAAGAUAAAUGUUUUAUUCUGGUCAUUGCUUCAUCAUGUUCAAAGAAGCCAAGAGUGGAUAUGAAACUACUAAAGUGUUUGUGAACAUUUAAUAAACUGAUCAUUUCAAUUUCCCAGUUGUAUUCUCUAUUCUGUAAGCAGUACUUUUGAUCUGAACAUCUACUCUGACAGGUCCUCGGAUCAAGAGAGUGCAUGCUCCUAAUAUCUUGCAGGAAAGUUAUAUUACAGGGGCUUUAUAUAAAAUUGUAUUUGCGUUGCCUAAACGACAACUAAAUUAGAGACUAACUUGCCCUUGUGGGAAGUAAGCACGCCAACUAUAUACACACAAAUGUUACUUAUAAGCUAAUUGAAGUAUAUUACAAGUAGUGGUCAGUCAAAAUUGUAUGUGAACCUUUUCACUAUUUAAACAAGGGUGUCAUGUUUGGCUCAUGCUACUAACUAAGAUCCUGGCUGAACUUUUGUUGCUCAAGUUUCUCUACCAAGGCUUUCUUUUCAUCUUCUGGGAGAGAAUUAAACAUGAAGACAGAUUUAUCACCAAUGUCAUCCUUGAUGGGCUGGGUGAACUUCCUUCCAGCAAAUAUCACAAAGAGGGCCAUCCAUGAACCCAAUAGAGCAAGCUUUAGUCCAUCAUCCAUUAAACCUGUCUGCAUAUUUCAAGUGAAGCCUAUCAAGCAAUAGGCGAUCUUUCUAAUUUUAUCAAUUAUAUACAAAAUUUUUCAUAUCGAUAUAAAUUUUAGCAAAAUAUAGGACAUAUGCUAAAACUCUUAAAUCUCAUGUUACCAUCUGAUAUGAUAUAUUAAAAUAUAAGACUCAUAAAAUUUGUCAAUUAUAUUUUCAAACAUUAUUAAUAUUUAGUCCUAUUGACAAAAAAACCUAAAUCUUAACGCGUUUUGAUAAUUUUAUUCAAUUUUUUCAAUUUUAACAAAAUCAGUCAAAAUUUCAAAAUGCACAAAAAUUUUAUUCAAAUUUUUUAAAAUUUUGAAAAUUUGUUGUUAUUUUUUUUAUAUAUUUUUUUACUUCAUUUUCUGGUUUAUCUAACCUUAUUGGUACCAUCAAUCACCUCCAAACUUCAUUUUAACAUUGAUGGUGAAUCAAAAUUCUUAGUCACUUAAUCAAAUUGGAUAGUUUUAAUGUCACACAUACUCUCUCCUCACUAUCAUCAAAUCUCAUCAUUAUUUGAUACUCAAUGGUUAUCAAAAUGAAAUUAUGAAAGAUUUUAUGAAUCUAAUAUAAUGAUGGAUUUUCAAUGAAAGCUAUAAACAAGUAGAAAAAUGAAGCACAAAAUUCGAUUGAGGAAAAUUAGAUAAAGUGCUAACAACUUUUUAAAAUUUUGCCCAUUUUGCCAAAAUUGAAAGAAUAGGAUAAAAUUGGCAAAACGCGAUAAGCUUUGGCUUUUUUCGUCCAUAAACCUAAUAUUUAACAUUGUAAAAUAAAAAAGUAGGUAAAAAUUAUGAAUCUUUUUCGUUAAAUAUGCUAUUGUGAAACUUUUAUGAAUAAAACAUAGGCCAUUUCAGUAAUUUGGUAGUUUUGGCACAUGCAUGCUAUUCCCAGUUUGGCUACAUUUGUUGACAAAUGACAAUAUAAAAAUUUUGUAUAUAAUUGAACUAAAAUUGCUGACAAUAAAUGCAAAUAGGACUAAAGAUUUGAAUUUUCUUCAUUAACCCAAAAUCCAGAGAUUGAUGUUACUGUUGUCUACUAAACAAGUAGACAAAAUAUCAAAGUCAUUUAAUAUUUUUUCAUGACGACAAUAAUUGAAUUAUAGGACAACAGAAGUGGCUAGACAACUACAGAGCCAGCAAUCCACCCAAACCCCCACUUCAAGAAAAUCUAAUCCACAAACCAAAGUACACAGACAGGUAGCCAUCUCUAACCUUUUCCUUUUUUCCAGUUUUCAAGGGGGGAAAAGAGCAACAAAAAGAACAGCAUAAGAGAUGAUUGCGAGAAUAGCCUAGCUAGGCCUAUUCUAAGCAAAAACCUUCAUACUGCGUGUAUUCAUUGCUAUUUGAUGACAUUAGUUUUCGCGGAAAGAUAAAUUGAUGUUUUGAACAAGUUGCAAGAAGGGUACCAGGUGGCCAAGAAGAGCUGCAGGUAUAAUGAAUGUGAGAAUGCCAGCUUCCAGCUUCCCAUAGCAAAGGCCUUCUUUGAAGACAAGUCCUGUCAGCGCUGCAAACAAUGGGCCAACAAACCAGACAGCUGUUGGAUUAUCAACCACAUAAUGUAUCAAGUUUUCGUCAGCUGGUUUAGCAAGGAUUGUGUACGUUGCAAAAGACCCAACAACACCAAGUGCCCAUAAAGCUUGAAGGGUGCGUUUAAUCUCAGUUACAUAGAUGUGAAUCAAAACUAAUGAUAGCCCCAAUCCACCAGCUCCAAGAGUGUAUAGUAGAUCAAGAUUUUGCUUAAUUACUUCUCCCAACAGAGAGUCAUUGGGUAAAAAGGCAUCUGAUGCGGCAAUUACAAAUGCAGAAGCAGCAGUAACCAGCCCCAGUCUAUAUAAAAUCACCUCUCGAACGUCUGAUGGUUCAACCGUCCAGCUACCAUAAGCGCCUUUGUAAACCGUCGGUUGGAUCGAAGGCUUAGAGCUAUCACCAACUGCCUUGCAUUUUAUCGAUCCAUUUCUAAGCUUAAACGACGCCGCCGAUAUGCUGGAUUUCACUGUUGAUUUUACCCGCCAACAGGCGAGUCUUGAAGGAGAGAUUAACGACGCUGACAACGCGAGCAAAGCCAUAAUUGACGACCUCGCCUUCCUCUUU